rnacentral:rRNA from 2 species
GGGUUGUGAGGUUAAGCGACUAAGCGUACACGGUGGAUGCCCUGGCAGUCAGAGGCGAUGAAGGACGUGCUAAUCUGCGAUAAGCGUCGGUAAGGUGAUAUGAACCGUUAUAACCGGCGAUUUCCGAAUGGGGAAACCCAGUGUGUUUCGACACACUAUCAUUAACUGAAUCCAUAGGUUAAUGAGGCGAACCGGGGGAACUGAAACAUCUAAGUACCCCGAGGAAAAGAAAUCAACCGAGAUUCCCCCAGUAGCGGCGAGCGAACGGGGAGCAGCCCAGAGUCUGAAUCAGUGUGUGUGUUAGUGGAAGUGUCUGGAAAGGCGCGCGAUACAGGGUGACAGCCCCGUACACAAAAAUGCACAUGCUGUGAGCUCGAUGAGUAGGGCGGGACACGUGGUAUCCUGUCUGAAUAUGGGGGGACCAUCCUCCAAGGCUAAAUACUCCUGACUGACCGAUAGUGAACCAGUACCGUGAGGGAAAGGCGAAAAGAACCCCGGCGAGGGGAGUGAAAAAGAACCUGAAACCGUGUACGUACAAGCAGUGGGAGCCCUGAUUUAUCAGGGUGACUGCGUACCUUUUGUAUAAUGGGUCAGCGACUUAUAUUCUGUAGCAAGGUUAACCGAAUAGGGGAGCCGGAGGGAAACCGAGUCUUAACUGGGCGUUAAGUUGCAGGGUAUAGACCCGAAACCCGGUGAUCUAGCCAUGGGCAGGUUGAAGGUUGGGUAACACUAACUGGAGGACCGAACCGACUAAUGUUGAAAAAUUAGCGGAUGACUUGUGGCUGGGGGUGAAAGGCCAAUCAAACCGGGAGAUAGCUGGUUCUCCCCGAAAGCUAUUUAGGUAGCGCCUCGUGAAUUCAUCUCCGGGGGUAGAGCACUGUUUCGGCAAGGGGGUCAUCCCGACUUACCAACCCGAUGCAAACUGCGAAUACCGGAGAAUGUUAUCACGGGAGACACACGGCGGGUGCUAACGUCCGUCGUGAAGAGGGAAACAACCCAGACCGCCAGCUAAGGUCCCAAAGUCAUGGUUAAGUGGGAAACGAUGUGGGAAGGCCCAGACAGCCAGGAUGUUGGCUUAGAAGCAGCCAUCAUUUAAAGAAAGCGUAAUAGCUCACUGGUCGAGUCGGCCUGCGCGGAAGAUGUAACGGGGCUAAACCAUGCACCGAAGCUGCGGCAGCGACACUGUGUGUUGUUGGGUAGGGGAGCGUUCUGUAAGCCUGUGAAGGUGUGCUGUGAGGCAUGCUGGAGGUAUCAGAAGUGCGAAUGCUGACAUAAGUAACGAUAAAGCGGGUGAAAAGCCCGCUCGCCGGAAGACCAAGGGUUCCUGUCCAACGUUAAUCGGGGCAGGGUGAGUCGACCCCUAAGGCGAGGCCGAAAGGCGUAGUCGAUGGGAAACAGGUUAAUAUUCCUGUACUUGGUGUUACUGCGAAGGGGGGACGGAGAAGGCUAUGUUGGCCGGGCGACGGUUGUCCCGGUUUAAGCGUGUAGGCUGGUUUUCCAGGCAAAUCCGGAGAAUCAAGGCUGAGGCGUGAUGACGAGGCACUACGGUGCUGAAGCAACAAAUGCCCUGCUUCCAGGAAAAGCCUCUAAGCAUCAGGUAACAUCAAAUCGUACCCCAAACCGACACAGGUGGUCAGGUAGAGAAUACCAAGGCGCUUGAGAGAACUCGGGUGAAGGAACUAGGCAAAAUGGUGCCGUAACUUCGGGAGAAGGCACGCUGAUAUGUAGGUGAAGCGACUUGCUCGUGGAGCUGAAAUCAGUCGAAGAUACCAGCUGGCUGCAACUGUUUAUUAAAAACACAGCACUGUGCAAACACGAAAGUGGACGUAUACGGUGUGACGCCUGCCCGGUGCCGGAAGGUUAAUUGAUGGGGUCAGCGCAAGCGAAGCUCUUGAUCGAAGCCCCGGUAAACGGCGGCCGUAACUAUAACGGUCCUAAGGUAGCGAAAUUCCUUGUCGGGUAAGUUCCGACCUGCACGAAUGGCGUAAUGAUGGCCAGGCUGUCUCCACCCGAGACUCAGUGAAAUUGAACUCGCUGUGAAGAUGCAGUGUACCCGCGGCAAGACGGAAAGACCCCGUGAACCUUUACUAUAGCUUGACACUGAACACUGGUCCUUGAUGUGUAGGAUAGGUGGGAGGCUUUGAAGUGUGGACGCCAGUCUGCAUGGAGCCGUCCUUGAAAUACCACCCUUUAAUGGCUGGUGUUCUAACGUUGGCCCCUUACCGGGGUUGCGGACAGUGUCUGGUGGGUAGUUUGACUGGGGCGGUCUCCUCCUAAAGAGUAACGGAGGAGCACGAAGGUUGGCUAAUCCUGGUCGGACAUCAGGAGGUUAGUGCAAUGGCAUAAGCCAGCUUGACUGCGAGCGUGACGGCGCGAGCAGGUGCGAAAGCAGGUCAUAGUGAUCCGGUGGUUCUGAAUGGAAGGGCCAUCGCUCAACGGAUAAAAGGUACUCCGGGGAUAACAGGCUGAUACCGCCCAAGAGUUCAUAUCGACGGCGGUGUUUGGCACCUCGAUGUCGGCUCAUCACAUCCUGGGGCUGAAGUAGGUCCCAAGGGUAUGGCUGUUCGCCAUUUAAAGUGGUACGCGAGCUGGGUUUAGAACGUCGUGAGACAGUUCGGUCCCUAUCUGCCGUGGGCGCUGGAGAACUGAGGGGGGCUGCUCCUAGUACGAGAGGACCGGAGUGGACGCAUCACUGGUGUUCGGGUUGUCAUGCCAAUGGCACUGCCCGGUAGCUAAAUGCGGAAGAGAUAAGUGCUGAAAGCAUCUAAGCACGAAACUUGCCCCGAGAUGAGUUCUCCCUGAGACCUGGAGUCUCCUGAAGGAACGUUGAAGACGACGACGUUGAUAGGCCGGGUGUGUAAGCGCAGCGAUGCGUUGAGCUAACCGGUACUAAUGAACCGUGAGGCUUAACCUUACAAC